rnacentral:rRNA from 1 species
UACGUAGGGGGCAAGCGUUGUCCGGAUUUACUGGGCGUAAAGCGCGUGUAGGCGGCCAUGCAGGUCCGUUGUGAAAACUAGAGGCUCAACCUCUAGACGUCGACGGAAACCGUGUGGCUAGAGUCCGGAAGAGGAGAGUGGAAUUCCUGGUGUAGCGGUGAAAUGCGCAGAUAUCAGGAAGAACACCAAUGGCGAAGGCAGCUCUCUGGGACGGUACUGACGCUGAGACGCGAAAGCGUGGGGAGCGAACAGGAUUAGAUACCCCCGUAGUCC